rnacentral:rRNA from 1 species
CAGUAGCCGCGGUAAUACGGAGGAUGCAAGCGUUAUCCGGAUUCACUGGGUUUAAAGGGUGCGUAGGCGGAUCUGUAAGUCAGUGGUGAAAUCUCCAGGCUUAACCUGGAAACUGCCGUUGAUACUAUAGGUCUUGAAUUUUGUGGAGGUUAGCGGAAUAUGUCAUGUAGCGGUGAAAUGCAUAGAUAUGACAUAGAACACCAAUUGCGAAGGCAGCUGGCUACACAACUAUUGACGCUGAGGCACGAAAGCGUGGGGAUCAAACAGGAUUAGAUACCCCCGUAGUCCCUGUCUCUUAUAA